CAAAUCAGGUAGGAUUACCCGCUGAACUUAAGCAUAUCAAUAAGCGGAGGAAAAGAAACUAACAAGGAUUCCCCUAGUAACUGCGAGUGAAGCGGGAAAAGCUCAAAUUUGUAAUCUGGCGGUCUUGGGCCGUCCGAAUUGUAAACUAGAGAAGCGUUAUCCGCGCUGGACCGUGUACAAGUCCCCUGGAAUGGGGCGUCAUAGAGGGUGAGAAUCCCGUCUUUGACACGGACUACCAGGGCUUUGUGAUGCGCUCUCAAAGAGUCGAGUUGUUUGGGAAUGCAGCUCAAAAUGGGUGGUAAAUUCCAUCUAAAGCUAAAUAUUGGCGAGAGACCGAUAGCGAACAAGUACCGUGAGGGAAAGAUGAAAAGAACUUUGGAAAGAGAGUUAAACAGUACGUGAAAUUGCUGAAAGGGAAACGCUUGAAGUCAGUCGCGUUGGCUAGGGAUCAGCCUUACUCUGGUGGGGUGUACUUCCUUGUUGACGGGUCAGCAUCAGUUUUGGUUGCUGGAUAAAGGCUGAGGGAAUGUGGCACCUUCGGGUGUGUUAUAGCCCUUGGUCAGAUACAGUGGCUGGGACUGAGGAACUCAGCACGCGCAAGCUGUGCUUAGGAUGCUG
rnacentral:rRNA from 1 species